rnacentral:rRNA from 1 species
UACAGAGGUCUCAAGCGUUGUUCGGAUUCAUUGGGCGUAAAGGGUGCGUAGGCGGAUUGCUAAGUCAGGGGUGAAAUCCUGGAGCUCAACUCCAGAACUGCCUUUGAUACUGGCGAUCUCGAGUCCGGGAGAGGUGAGUGGAACUGUGAGUGUAGAGGUGAAAUUCGUAGAUAUUCGCAAGAACACCAGUGGCGAAGGCGGCUCACUGGCCCGGUACUGACGCUGAGGUGCGAAAGCGUGGGGAGCAAACAGG